rnacentral:rRNA from 1 species
UACGGAGGGGGCUAGCGUUGUUCGGAAUUACUGGGCGUAAAGCGCGCGUAGGCGGAUUGAUCAGUUGGGGGUGAAAUCCCGAGGCUUAACCUCGGAACUGCCCUCAAUACUGUCAGUCUAGAGAUCGGAAGAGGUAAGUGGAAUUCCUAGUGUAGAGGUGAAAUUCGUAGAUAUUAGGAAGAACACCAGUGGCGAAGGCGGCUUACUGGUCCGAUACUGACGCUGAGGUGCGAAAGCGUGGGGAGCAAACAGGAUUAGAUACCCCCGUA